AUUGAACGCUGGCGGCAUGCCUUACACAUGCAAGUCGAACGGUAACGCGGGGCAACCUGGCGACGAGUGGCGAACGGGUGAGUAAUGUAUCGGAACGUGCCCGGUUGUGGGGGAUAACUGCUCGAAAGAGCAGCUAAUACCGCAUACGACCUGAGGGUGAAAGCGGGGGAUCGCAAGACCUCGCGCAAUUGGAGCGGCCGAUAUCAGAUUAGGUAGUUGGUGGGGUAAAGGCUCACCAAGCCAACGAUCUGUAGCUGGUCUGAGAGGACGACCAGCCACACUGGGACUGGGACACGGCCCAGACUCCUACGGGAGGCAGCAGUGGGGAAUUUUGGACAAUGGACGGAAGUCUGAUCCAGCCAUGCCGCGUGCGGGAAGAAGGCCUUCGGGUUGUAAACCGCUUUUGUCAGGGAAGAAACGCUCUGGGUUAAUACCUCGGGGUAAUGACGGUACCUGAAGAAUAAGCACCGGCUAACUACGUGCAGCCGCCGCGGUAAUAC
rnacentral:rRNA from 1 species